ACGCACGCUGGCGGCGUGCUUAACACAUGCCAGUCGCACGGUGAAGCCCUUCGGUGUGGAUCAGUGGCGAACGGGUGAGUAACACGUGAGCAACCUGCCCCUGGCUCUGGGACAACCACUGGAAACGGUGGCUAAUACCGGAUACGACCCGCCUCGGCAUCGAGUGUGGGUGGAAAGUUUUUCGGCUGGGGAUGGGCUCGCGGCCUAUCAGCUUGUUGGUGAGGUGAAGGCUCACCAAGGCGACGACGGGUAGCCGGCCUGAGAGGGCGACCGGCCACACUGGGACUGAGACACGGCCCAGACUCCUACGGGAGGCAGCAGUGGGGAAUAUUGCACAAUGGGCGAAAGCCUGAUGCAGCGACGCCGCGUGAGGGAUGACGGCCUUCGGGUUGUAAACCUCUUUCAGCUCCGAAGAAGCGAAAGUGACGGUAGGAGCAGAAGAAGCACCGGCUAACUACGUG
rnacentral:rRNA from 1 species